rfam:Caenorhabditis briggsae complete genome, chrX
GCCGAUCCUUGACUGGAACUUGGAUAUCGUUCGUAUACAGCAAAAUAGUCCUGUACCCGUACUUCCAACUUCCAAAUCAAGGAUCGUC